AACAGGAUUAGAUACCCUGGUAGUCCACGCCGUAAACGAUGUCGACUUGGAGGUUGUGCCCUUGAGGCGUGGCUUCCGGAGCUAACGCGUUAAGUCGACCGCCUGGGGAGUACGGCCGCAAGGUUAAAGCUCAAAUGAAUUGACGGGGGCCCGCACAAGCGGUGGAGCAUGUGGUUUAAUUCGAUGCAACGCGAAGAACCUUACCUACUCUUGACAUCCAGAGAACUUAGCAGAGAUGCUUUGGUGCCUUCGGGAACUCUGAGACAGGUGCUGCAUGGCUGUCGUCAGCUCGUGUUGUGAAAUGUUGGGUUAAGUCCCGCAACGAGCGCAACCCUUAUCCUUUGUUGCCAGCGGUUAGGCCGGGAACUCAAAGGAGACUGCCAGUGAUAAACUGGAGGAAGGUGGGGAUGACGUCAAGUCAUCAUGGCCCUUACGAGUAGGGCUACACACGUGCUACAAUGGCAUAUACAAAGAGAAGCGACCUCGCGAGAGCAAGCGGACCUCAUAAAGUAUGUCGUAGUCCGGAUUGGAGUCUGCAACUCGACUCCAUGAAGUCGGAAUCGCUAGUAAUCGUGGAUCAGAAUGCCACGGUGAAUACGUUCCCGGGCCUUGUACACACCGCCCGUCACACCAUGGGAGUGGGUUGCAAAAGAAGUAGGUAGCUUAACCUUCGGGAGGGCGCUUACCACUUUGUGAUUCAUGACUGGGGUGAAGUCGUAACAAGGUAACC
rnacentral:rRNA from 1 species